UUGACAGGGGUAACACAUAUUUCUUCAGAAAAUCACACAACGUUAACCAACACCACAUUUUCUCUACUUCAUUCAAAAAUUGUCCUUUGGUCAGUGAUCUUUACUAAUACUCCCUCUGAUCCUAAAUUCUUAACUCAAAUUUGCUCAAAUAUGGAUGUAUCUAUUCUUAAAAAGCGUCUAGAUACAUGUAAUAUUUUGACAACAAUUUAGGAUCGGAGGGAGUAGUAACUUUUUAAAUUUUUUGCCUUUAGUGAGUUCUCAAUGCUUCACAUAUUUUACUGUUUCCUUUUUGCUCUUUGUCAGUCACUCAGUUGCCAAUGCUUCACUAAUUCAUUUUUGCACCUUAUUGAGGAGUGUGGUGGCAAUAUGGUGUCAGCUGUCUCAACUUUUCACAAUCUAUACUACUAGAUGCGAGGGUUGACCUCUGGCGAGGGCGAGCUUCUCGGCGCUGACCUCGCCGUUCCAGUUGAAAUCCAUGUUCUUCUCAAAGAGUUCAUCGUAGGGCGCUGAGCUGCCCUCCUUGGCUGCAGGAGCCUGCAAGUUUUAAUUCGGAGAAGCAACAAAUUGGGUUGCCAUCUCAUGGAGGGGGGACAUCUGCGGGUGUUCGAUUUUUUCGCGUGGGACCUUGGGAGAAUCGGCCGAGUCACGGUCACGGCGCAUCGAAUCUUGCUUCUGAGGUCCUUCCAUGGUCCUUUGUCGGAUUUCAUGCAACCACCGCCUUCACACACGCAGGUGCCCCCGAAGAACUCAGGCAAUUCACUGCCGAGCUCCACAAAACAAGAACAUAAGAACCAGAAGCUUGAGUUAGAAAAAAAAAGGAAACUUCCUGGACAAACCUGGGAUCAAUCACUUCCAGAAGCUUGCUCUGGUACUUGUUACCGAGGACCUAAACCAGAAGGAGAAGGAAAGAGGAGACAAGUUACAUGGAUCUUGGCUGUGGUCUUGGGGUCAAGGAAGGACUUGACAGUGUUCCAUAGGAGCCUGAACCCCUGACCGGCGUUAAUGAUGAACAUCCUGCACAGCGUCUGCAUUGUCAACUAAAAUCAUCAGCGCUUUUGUCAUUCUGUCAACAUUGAACAAAUUUUAUGUUUUCUGUACACCUAGUAGAGAAAUUUUGUUCAGAUACAAGUAACAUUUGAAAAUUGGGUCAGUACAGCAUGACAAUUCCAGAUUUAAUUA